CAGAUGGUAGUUUAAUAAAAAUACAGAUUUUGGGUAUCUAUGUUUGACUCAUUGUCACCAACUGG
rnacentral:tRNA from 1 species